GAUGAACGCUGGCGGCGUGCCUAAUACAUGCAAGUCGAGCGAACGGACGAGAAGCUUGCUUCUCUGAUGUUAGCGGCGGACGGGUGAGUAACACGUGGAUAACCUACCUAUAAGACUGGGAUAACUUCGGGAAACCGGAGCUAAUACCGGAUAAUAUUUUGAACCGCAUGGUUCAAAAGUGAAGGACGGUCUUGCUGUCACUUAUAGAUGGAUCCGCGCUGCAUUAGCUAGUUGGUAAGGUAACGGCUUACCAAGGCAACGAUGCAUAGCCGACCUAAGAGGGUGAUCGGCCACACUGGAACUGAGACACGGUCCAGACUCCUACGGGAGGCAGCAGUAGGGAAUCUUCCGCAAUGGGCGAAAGCCUGACGGAGCAACGCCGCGUGAGUGAUGAAGGUCUUCGGAUCGUAAAACUCUGUUAUUAGGGAAGAACAUAUGUGUAAGUAACUGUGCACAUCUUGACGGUACCUAAUCAGAAAGCCACGGCUAACUACGUG
rnacentral:rRNA from 1 species